rnacentral:rRNA from 1 species
GACGAACGCUGGCGGCGUGCCUAAUACAUGCAAGUAGAACGCUGACUACUUUAGCUUGCUAGAGUAGAAGGAGUUGCGAACGGGUGAGUAACGCGUAGGUAACCUGCCUACUAGCGGGAGAUAACUAUUGGAAACGAUAGCUAAUACCGCAUAACAGUGUUUAACACAUGUUAGAUGCUUGAAAGAUGCAAUUGCAUCACUAGUAGAUGGACCUGCGUUGUAUUAGCUAGUUGGUGGGGUAACGGCCCACCAAGGCGACGAUACAUAGCCGACCUGAGAGGGUGAUCGGCCACACUGGGACUGAGACACGGCCCAGACUCCUACGGGAGGCAGCAGUAGGGAAUCUUCGGCAAUGGGGGCAACCCUGACCGAGCAACGCCGCGUGAGUGAAGAAGGUUUUCGGAUCGUAAAGCUCCGUUGUAAGAGAAGAACGUGUGUGAGAGUGGAAAGUUCACACAGUGACGGUAACUUACCAGAAAGGGACGGCUAACUACGUGCCAGCAGCCGCCGUAA